rnacentral:rRNA from 1 species
GUAGGGAAUCUUCGGCAAUGGACGAAAGUCUGACCGAGCAACGCCGCGUGAGUGAAGAAGGUUUUCGGAUCGUAAAACUCUGUUGGUAGAGAAGAACGUUGGUGAGAGUGGAAAGCUCAUCAAGUGACGGUAACUACCCAGAAAGGGACGGCUAACUACGUGCCAGCAGCCGCGGUAAUACGUAGGUCCCGAGCGUUGUCCGGAUUUAUUGGGCGUAAAGCGAGCGCAGGUGGUUUAUUAAGUCUGGUGUAAAAGGCAGUGGCUCAACCAUUGUAUGCAUUGGAAACUGGUAGACUUGAGUGCAGGAGAGGAGAGUGGAAUUCCAUGUGUAGCGGUGAAAUGCGUAGAUAUAUGGAGGAACACCGGAGGCGAAAGCGGCUCUCUGGCCUGUAACUGACACUGAGGCUCGAAAGCGUGGGGAGCAAACAGGAUUAGAUACCCUGGUAGUCC